rnacentral:lncRNA from 10 species
GUUAACUUUUAUUUCUAGUCUAUGGAGACUAGCAGGAUGACUCGCACGGAUUUUCUGGCUAAAUUUUUGGCAGUGCAGGAGAUCUGGGCAGCAGGGAUGACGGAAUUCAAGAGCACAUUAGUUAACAGUCUUUACAAAUGAAAACCCCAGUCUUUGUUGAGAAUCCAAAAUGGUAAUCAUGUGUGCAUUUUAGCACUGUUGUUUUCUACCCUCACUCUCAGCAAUGCCUGGAGGUUACCCUCAUGUCUUUGGAUAGUUUCUUAUUGCCAUUUUAUUUUUCCCACCCACCCUUCAUCUCCUAUUGCCUAUGGAAGCAUUUGGUGACCAUUAGACACCAGAAGUGGGCAAUUGCAAAACAGGUGAUGUCGUUGUUUUUUGUUGACCUUCACAUCCACAUUUCCAUUAUCAUCACACAGCAACUUACCUUGAUUGUCUGCAUAUUAUGAGGACCACCCCCAAGCUAACAACUUUCUCUGCUUUAUUUUAAUCUGUCUUCACCACCUGUAAACUUUUUGGCAUACUAUGGCUAUUUCAAUUAAGUGGAUGCUCCUUUUUGCUAUCCUAUACAAAUAUUUUUCUUCUGCAUUUUUUCGUUUUGUUUUUUGUUUUGUUGAGAGUCUCCCUCUGUCAGCCAGGCUGGAGUGCAGUGGUGCAAUCUUGGCUCACUGCAGCAUCAACUUCCCAAGCUCAGAAGAUCCUCCCACCUCAGCCUCACGACUAUCCAGGACCACAGGUUGGGUCAAGGUUGGACAGAGGCAAGCAGAAGCCUUAAUCCUCUCUCGCCAUCCCUGCAUGCUCUUGUAAGCCAAAAAGAACUGUGCAGAGCCCACAGGUGAGGGCUGCCUUGAGUAGGACUGAAGUCACACAGAGCACUGAUGGAGCCAGCGGACUUGUAAUGGUGGCUGUCACCUGCUCUCCCGCUUCAUCCCAUUCCACAGCGUUGACAGCUUUCACGUUCUUUCUUUAAGGUUGAGUGCUAACCUGCAGAUGUCUCUUGCAUUAGGAGCUGGGACAGUGACUCCUAGUGCUAAACAGAGCACCUCGCUGCUGAGAACAAGGAGGUAUCAGUGUGAGGAACAAGGGAAUGAAAAUCAAGGGGCCCUCUCUUGUAUCUGAGAAGGGCUUUGGCUAGCACUGUUUCAGACGCAUAUGGAGAAUUUAGGUUCAAUAAAUUCUGUUCUUUAUCCUGCUGUCCAGACCGUUUAUUCUUUCUAUUUAUUUCUAUCUAUAUAUCUAUGUAUCUAUUUAUCUAUCAUCUAUCAUCUAUGUAUGUAUGUAUGAAUUAAUGUUUCUAUCUAUCUAUGCGUCUAUCUGUAUUAGUCUGUUUUCAGGCUGCUGAUAAAGACAUACCCAAGACUGGGUAAUUUAUACGGGAAAAGGAGAGUAUUGGACUUACAGUUCCACGUGCCUGAGGAAGCCUCACAAUCACGGUGGAAGGGGAGGAGGAGCAAAUCACGUCUUACGUGGAUGGCAGCAGGCAAAGAGAAGGAGCUUGUGCAGGAAAACUCCCCUUUUUAAAACCAUCAGAUCUGGUGAGACUCAUUCACUAUCAUGAGAACAGGGCAGGAAAGACCUGCCCCCGUAAUUCAGUCACCUCCCACUAGGUUCAUCCCACAACACAUGGCAAUUGUGGGAGUUACAAUUCAAGAUGAGAUUUGGGUGGGGACACAGCCAAACUAUAUCACUAUCCAGCUAGCCACCUAACUACUUAGCUACCUACCUAUCCAUCCAUCCAUCCAUCCAUCCAUCAAUUUCAUCUAUGUAUUCCAUCCAUCUAUCUAAAUAUUCAC